rnacentral:rRNA from 1 species
UACGUAGGGGGCAAGCGUUGUCCGGAUUCAUUGGGCGUAAAGAGCGUGUAGGCGGCCAGGUAGGUCGGUUGUGAAAACUGGAGGCUCAACCUCGAGACGUCGGUUGAAACCGUACGGCUAGAGUCCGGAAGAGGCGAGUGGAAUUCCUGGUGUAGCGGUGGAAUGCGCAGAUAUCAGGAGGAACACCAAUAGCGAAGGCAGCUCGCUGGGACGGUACUGACGCUAAGGCGCGAAAGCGUGGGGAGCGAACAGG